AUUGAACGCUGGCGGCAGGCCUAACACAUGCAAGUCGAGCGCGCGGCGGACGGGUGAGUAAUGUCUGGGAAACUGCCUGAUGGAGGGGGAUAACUACUGGAAACGGUAGCUAAUACCGCAUACCAUCAGAUGUGCCCAGAUGGGAUUAGCUAGUAGGUGGGGUAAUGGCUCACCUAGGCGACGCUCCCUAGCUGGUCUGAGAGGAUGACCAGCCACACUGGAACUGAGACACGGUCCAGACUCCUACGGGAGGCAGCAGUGGGGAAUAUUGCACAAUGGGGGCAAGCCUGAUGAAGCCAUGCCGCGUGUAGGAAGAAGGCCUUCGGGUUGUAAAGUACAUUCAGCGGGGAGGCGGUACCCGCAGAAGAAGCACCGGCUAACUCCGUGCCAGCAGCCGCGGUAAUAC
rnacentral:rRNA from 1 species